AUCGUUCAAUAAAUGUAUUAAACCGGCCCUCGAAAACAUUUGAUGCUAAUUUGCUAAGUGCGCACGAGUUGCAAACCUGCGCAAAUGCACCAAGAAGUCGUAAAAAUUAUUACUGACUGGAGUGCAGAGUAAUAAAAAUUGUUACGAUUUACGCUUGGCUAUAGGUUAUAGUUAUAGUAUGCAACCAAUGUAACGCAAGCAAAAGUUGCCUGCACUCGGCGCUGGCACAUCGUAAAUCGAUAAGUUUGCAUUACAUUAAUUAUAUAUUUCAUACGAGCCGCAACUCAUAUGGCUAUCUUUUAUUGAAAAGGGAUUAUAGGCGAUGUGACACUUGAAAUUGUUGGUUGUAAGUUAUAACAAUGAUUAUAUCACGUAUACUUGAUUUAGGUGUUUGAAUUCUAAAGGCAGGAAAUAUUUCAAUUAUAAUAAUCACGCUUCGAGGCAUGAAUGAUUUGUAAAAUCAGAUUUGUCCUCGUUGUGCAUACCUUAAUAUAAAGUGUGAUGUAGUGCGUGUUUAUGCAUAAUCAGGCUGUUAUUGAACAAACAUAAUUCCAGAUUGAAGUGUUUGAUUGUAAAAGAUGUCAAAGUCGAUUAAAUUAACAUGAAUCAAACAUUUUCAGGUAAACUUAAUACCGUAAAUAACUCCCGAAGUGUAUAAGUAACCAUACUAUCUGAAAAUGUGGACAGACCGGAUGGAAAUCGAUAAAGCGUUCACAUUGUUCGCAUUCCAAAAUUAUAAUUCAAGCUGGCAACCUACGACUACUCUGGGCUGCUAUCAUUUGCUGGCUAAUUUAUAGUGCUUGUUUUCUUAUCAGCGCGGUAAUUAAUUGGCAGUCAUGUGUGACGUGCGUGUAAUGCGAUGUGGUCGCAAGUUGAAUGCAGAAUGCACGGUUACAUCAACUGUCUUCUCUUGCGGCGGCAUGUUUGAAAGUGUAAGUGGACGCAUUCCGCUCGUCGUGGAGUUUUUUGAUCCACAUCGGACAAGCACAUUUUGUGGUUGAAGAUGAUACGCUCUCGAAGCCUCGAGUUGCGGUUCGUGGUUUCGCAUAAUCAGCUUUUAUAAACCGCCGAAAGCCGGCAGUUUGCUUGCUUCAUGCGCUCGCGCAUAAAAUGCAAAUGCGAGCGAGCUUCGACGUUGCGGUGUUUUUCAUUUGCGAUGAAAUUUUUACUUCCGAACAGGCAGGCCGCGAAUUCUCUUUGGUAUUUCAACGACAUUUUCUUUUAUACUCGAUUUUUUACCGUUUUUUAUGUGUUGUUUUUAACGGAAACCAUGCUAAACUGUUAAUAGACGUUGUAAAAUGCUGAACUCUAAUAUUUCUGUCGAGCGGCGUGUUUAAUUAAAACUUGCUAAAGCGCAAACGCAAACAAUUUGAAUGCGUUUAAAAGUUUGGGGAACUUAUAAUUAAACAGAUUGUUCCAAAAUGUUUUUGUUUGUCGGGUCAAUGAAAACAGGUUUUAACUUUUUUAUAGAAAGAUUUUUAUUCAUUUUUGGUGCACGUGGAAUUUUUUAUGUGAUUGAAUUAAGUAAUUUAUGUCAUCGGCAAUAUUUAUGAUGCAGGAUGCUAUCAUCGACGAGCAUUACAUCAAUAUCGAAUAAUAAACCAAUGUUAUGUUCACGUUCCAUAAAAUAUAAAAAAAAAUACAAAAUUAUUUCCGAAGCGUAUGAUAUCUACACGCUCGGACCACAUUAGUCCACUUGUACUGUCACAUCGACACAUUCAGAGACCCUGUUCUACCGUUUAUGGUAAUCUGAUUCGAAAUUAUACAAAAAAAGGUCACGGUGAACGGCUUGAGCAUGCUUCCAUGUUUGUCGCGCGCACAUCGCUUUGUAUUCGGUGAUAUGCCCAACAUUACAAAGCCAUUAAACGCUUCAUGAAAACGCGUACACUUGUAGCAACCAAACCGUGUGGUAACAUUAACCGAAGGCAAUUUGUCAGGAAUUGUUUUGAGAGCGUUUGGAUUGUGUUUUUUUUUUAACGAAGAGAAUCUACAUACGUAUUUCUUGGGAUAUUAAUGCAUUGACGCUGUCGAGAAGAUCUCGGCGCCUGUUUGUUGUUGGAUAUAACGCUGGGAUAACAUAUGUACAUAUGAGUAAGCGUCGGGAUUUGUAGAAUUAUUUUUAGAUUUAUAUCUUGUGGCUUCGUUUUAAUCCAUAUGGUUGUGGUUUCGUGGAUUGCUGUAUAUUUGAUACAAAUCUAUUGUGGGAAUGAGGGAAGUUGUUGGCUUGUUGGAGUGAAACAAGACACAUUUAAUUGUUCACAAGUUAGUAUGUAUUGAUUUUCUUGAAUUAUCAUUUCAUGCGAGAUUAUCUCGGUGGUGCUGUUCUUGUUAUGCGCAUGACGUUGAUUGUGAUUCAUGUGAUAUUGUUCUCGAAAUGCAAUAAACAUUACGUGGGAAGUUUCAGGAGAAUUCGUGUGUGAAGUAAUUUAAAUAACAAACAGCAGUGGCAAAUUUUGAUAAUUAUGAUAAUAUAUGAAUCACUCACAA